UACAUCACAGACCCUCCACAAAUCAUCCUCCACAAAUCAUCUUUCUUCAUCUUCUGGAGCUUGUCCUUCAAUUUCAAUUUUCCCUUGAGUUUAUUCUCCUCUUCUUCACCCCAAACAAACCCUGAAAACUGCAAAACAUCCCUCUUAAAAUGAUAAGCAUUUCCACGUCUUCCAUAAAGAAGAUUGUGAAUGAUUUCCAGCAUUUCAUCACCUCUGGUGAGUUUAUAUGCCACAUUUGGAAUGUUCUUAAGCUGUGUGCCUUUGCCCUAUUCAAUGAUGAAUUCUCUGGGGCUAUCCCUAAUGGUGGAAGGAUCAAAGGUUUUUACAGGCUUCUUUUCUCUCACAAGCCGAUCCAGCGGAGUAGUAGGCAUUGGAAGUAAAUCCUCGGUUUUCUCUUCUCUGAAUUCUUCAGCCAUGUCGAGAUUCGAACCUGUGAAGGCUCAAACCCUGGAAUUAAAUACCUCUUAUAGCUUCGUUCAAUGAAUCAGCAUCAAAUAUGGACAUACAUGUUCGAAUUCAAAAUUUAUGAAGAGGCAAAACGGAGGAUCAGAAAAUAGCAACCGAAUGAGAGCAAAUUCCAGCCAUUCAUGGCACUAACAUUGGAUUCAUGGGUGGGCCCAUUUCUCAUACUGGUAUUGGCACUUCUCACAGGCCAUUGACAACAUAGGAUUAUCGAGUUGCAUCAUCAACUUAGGUUUUUCCUUUUGCCCUUUUCUUUUUCCUUAUUUAAAAACUUAGGGUGUGGAAUUUUG